rnacentral:rRNA from 1 species
AGUGGAUGGGGAGCAACCUAGUUGUGCGUGUGUAAAGGUAGUGCCAAGAAAAGCGAUGAUCAUGUUGAAAAUCAAUUCCCGGUACCCGAAACCGACACAGGUGGGCAAGUAGAGAAUACUAAGGGGCGCGAGGUAACUCUCUCCAAGGAACUCGGCAAAAUGACCCCGUAACUUAGGGAGAAGGGGUGCCACCGAGAGGUGGUCGCAGUGAAGAGGCCCAGGCGACUGUUUAGCAAAAACAUAGGUCUCUGCAAACUCGAAAGAGGAGGUAUAGGGGCUGACGCCUGCCCAGUGCCGGAAGGUUAAAGAAGUUGGUCAGUUUUAGGAUGAAGCUAGCGACUGAAGCCCCGGUGAACGGCGGCCGUAACUAUAACGGUCCUAAGGUAGCGAAAUUCCUUGUCGGGUAAGUUCCGACCCGCACGAAAGGCGUAACGAUCUGGGCGCUGUCUCGGAGAGAGGCUCGGCGAAAUAGGAUUGUCUGUGAAGAUACGGACUACCUGCAUUUGGACAGAAAGACCCUAUGAAGCUUUACUAUAGCUUGGAAUUGUGUUCGGGCUUCCUGUGCGCAGUAUAGGUGGGAGGCGUAGAAGGUAUUCUUGUGGGGAUACUGGAGCCAACGGUGAGAUACCACUCUCAGGAGGCUAGAAUUCUAACUUAAUUAAGGACAGCUUCAGGUGGGUAGUUUGACUGGGGCGGUCGCCUCCAAAAAGGUAACGGAGGCGUACAAAGGUUCCCUCAGACUGGUUGGAAAUCAGUCGAAGAGUGCAAAGGCAGAAGGGAGCUUGACUGCGAGAAGUACAGUUCGAGCAGGGUGGAAACACGGUCUUAGUGAUCCGACGGUGCUGUGUGGAAGGGCCGUCGCUCAACGGAUAAAUUUACUCUAGGAUAACAGGCUGAUCUCCCCCAAGAGUUCACAUCGACGGGGAGGUUUGGCACCUCGAUGUCGGCUCAUCGCAACCUGGGGCGGAAGUACGUCCCAAGGGUUGGGCUGUUCGCCCAUUAAAGCGGUACGUGAGCUGGGUUCAGAACGUCGUGAGACAGUUCGGUCCAUAUCCGAUGUAGGCGUGAGAAUAUUGAGAGGAGCCUUCCUUAGUACGAGAGGACCGGGAAGGACGCACCGCUGGUGUACCUGUUAUGAUGCCAAUUGUAAACGCAGGGUAGCCAAGUGCGGAGAGGAUAACCGCUGAAAGCAUCUAAGUGGGAAGCCCACCUCAAGAUGAGUAUUCUGGUGUAAGGUCACGGGAAGACGACCCGUAAAUAGGCACGAGGUGGAAGUGCAGAGAUGUAUGAAGCCGAAGUGUACUAAUAGACCGUCGGCUUGACCG